CUACGGGUGGCUGCAGUGGGGAAUAUUGGACAAUGGGCGAAAGCCUGAUCCAGCCAUGCCGCGUGUGUGAAGAAGGCCUUCGGGUUGUAAAGCACUUUCAGUGGGGAAGAAAGCCUUGGGGCUAAUACCCUCGAGGAAGGACAUCACCCACAGAAGAAGCACCGGCUAACUCCGUGCCAGCAGCCGCGGUAAUACGGAGGGUGCGAGCGUUAAUCGGAAUUACUGGGCGUAAAGCGCGCGUAGGCGGUCUGAUAAGCCGGUUGUGAAAGCCCCGGGCUCAACCUGGGAACGGCAUCCGGAACUGUCAGGCUAGAGUGCAGGAGAGGAAGGUAGAAUUACCGGUGUAGCGGUGAAAUGCGUAGAGAUCGGGAGGAAUACCAGUGGCGAAGGCGGCCUUCUGGACUGACACUGACGCUGAGGUGCGAAAGCGUGGGUAGCAAACAGGAUUAGAUACCCCGGUAGU
rnacentral:rRNA from 1 species